rnacentral:tRNA from 3 species
GCCGGGGUGGCUGAGUCUGGUAAGGCGCUGGCCUGCUAAGCCAGUGGGCUUAUGCCCUCCGGGGUUCAAAUCCCCGCCCCGGCGCCA